UACCUACGGGAGGCAGCAGUGGGGAAUAUUGGACAAUGGGCGCAAGCCUGAUCCAGCAAUGCCGCGUGAGUGAAGAAGGCCUUAGGGUUGUAAAGCUCUUUCGGCGGGGACGAUGAUGACGGUACCCGCAGAAGAAGCCCCGGCUAACUCCGUGCCAGCAGCCGCGGUAAUACGGAGGGGGCUAGCGUUGUUCGGAAUUACUGGGCGUAAAGGGCGCGUAGGCGGUGCGAUCAGUCAGGCGUGAAAGGCCCGGGCUCAACCCGGGGACUGCGCUUGAUACUGUUGCGCUGUGAGUCCGGGAGAGGAUGGCGGAAUUCCCAGUGUAGAGGUGAAAUUCGUAGAUAUUGGGAAGAACACCGGUGGCGAAGGCGGCCAUCUGGACCGGCACUGACGCUGAGGCGCGAAAGCGUGGGGAGCAAACAGGAUUAGAUACCCCUGUAGUCC
rnacentral:rRNA from 1 species